UACAGAGGUCUCGAGCGUUAGGCGGAAUCACUGGGCUUAAAGCGUGUGUAGGUGGAUGCCUAAGUACCUUGUGAAAUCCCACAGCUUAACUGUGGAACUGCUUGGUAUACUGGGUGUCUUGAGUCACUCAGGGGCGAGCGGAACAAAUGGUGGAGCGGUGAAAUGCGUAGAUAUCGUUUGGAACGCCAAUGGUGAAAACAGGUCGCUGGGAGUGCGCUGACGGCUGAGACACGGAAAGCCCAGGGGAGCGAACGGG
rnacentral:rRNA from 1 species